AUUGAACGCUGGCGGCAUGCCUUACACAUGCAAGUCGAACGGCAGCACGGGUGCUUGCACCUGGUGGCGAGUGGCGAACGGGAGAGUAAUACAUCGGAACGUACCUUAUCGUGGGGGAUAACGCAGCGAAAGCUGUGCUAAUCCCGCAUACGCCCUGCGGGGGAAAGCGGGGGAUCGAAAGACCUCGCGCGAUUAGAGCGGCCGAUGCCUGAUUAGCUUGUUGGUGGGGUAAAAGCCCACCAAGGCGACGAUCAGUAGCUGGUCUGAGAGGACGAUCAGCCACACUGGGACUGAGACACGGCCCAGACUCCUACGGGAGGCAGCAGUGGGGAAUUUUGGACAAUGGGGGCAACCCUGAUCCAGCAAUGCCGCGUGAGUGAAGAAGGCCUUCGGGUUGUAAAGCUCUUUUGUCAGGGAAGAAACACCGGCUCUAACACAGUCCGGGAAUGACGGUACCUGAAGAAUAAGCACCGGCUAACUACGUGCCAGCCGCCGCGGUAA
rnacentral:rRNA from 1 species